rnacentral:rRNA from 1 species
GGGGUUUGACAUGCAGGUGGUACUGACCUGAAAGGGGAGGGACCCUCGCUUUUAGUGAGGGGGCCUGCAC